AUUGAACGCUGGCGGAAUGCUUUACACAUGCAAGUCGAACGGCAGCACGGGGCAACCUGGUGGCGAGUGGCGAACGGGUGAGUAAUAUAUCGGAACGUGCCCAAUCGUGGGGGAUAACGCAGCGAAAGUUACGCUAAUACCGCAUACGAUCUACGGAUGAAAGCGGGGGAGUCGCAAGACCUCGCGCGAAUGGAGCGGCCGAUAUCAGAUUAGGUAGUUGGUGGGGUAAAGGCUCACCAAGCCAACGAUCUGUAGCUGGUCUGAGAGGACGACCAGCCACACUGGAACUGAGACACGGUCCAGACUCCUACGGGAGGCAGCAGUGGGGAAUUUUGGACAAUGGGGCGCAAGCCUGAUCCAGCCAUUCCGCGUGCAGGAUGAAGGCC
rnacentral:rRNA from 1 species